rnacentral:misc_RNA from 4 species
AACGCACAUUGCGCCUCUUGGUAUUCCGAGGGGCAUGUCUGUUUGAGCGUCAGUACACACCUCUUGCGAGACUUUGCUGUCUAGCAGGGCUCUGGGGAUCGGCGGGGCAACCCGUCGCCCCUAAUGUGGCACGCUUGCGGACCUCCAGUCAGUGAUCAACGUAGUAAACUUUAAAAAAAAGCUCGUGGAGACCUGGUGGACGGCUUUUCGCCUGAAUCAAACUCUUUCUAUGGUUUGACCUCAGAUCAGACAAGGAUACCCGCUGAACUUAA